rnacentral:rRNA from 1 species
CACUAUCGUUAACUGAAUACAUAGGUUAACGAGGCGAACCGGGGGAACUGAAACAUCUAAGUACCCCGAGGAAAAGAAAUCAACCGAGAUUCCCCCAGUAGCGGCGAGCGAACGGGGAGCAGCCCAGAGUCUGAAUCAGCUUGUGUGUUAGUGGAACGGUCUGGAAAGUCCGACGGUACAGGGUGAUAGUCCCGUACACCAAAAUGCACAGGUUGUGAACUCGAAGAGUAGGGCGGGACACGUGGUAUCCUGUCUGAAUAUGGGGGGACCAUCCUCCAAGGCUAAAUACUCCUGACUGACCGAUAGUGAACCAGUACCGUGAGGGAAAGGCGAAAAGAACCCCGGCGAGGGGAGUGAAAAAGAACCUGAAACCGUGUACGUACAAGCAGUGGGAGCACCUUCGGGUGUGACUGCGUACCUUUUGUAUAAUGGGUCAGCGACUUAUAUUCUGUAGCAAGGUUAACCGUAUAGGGGAGCCGCAGGGAAACCGAGUCUUAACUGGGCGUUAAGUUGCAGGGUAUAGACCCGAAACCCGGUGAUCUAGCCAUGGGCAGGUUGAAGGUUGGGUAACACUAACUGGAGGACCGAACCGACUAAUGUUGAAAAAUUAGCGGAUGACUUGUGGCUGGGGGUGAAAGGCCAAUCAAACCGGGAGAUAGCUGGUUCUCCCCGAAAGCUAUUUAGGUAGCGCCUCGUGAACUCAUCUUCGGGGGUAGAGCACUGUUUCGGCUAGGGGGUCAUCCCGACUUACCAACCCGAUGCAAACUACGAAUACCGAAGAAUGUUAUCACGGGAGACACACGGCGGGUGCUAACGUCCGUCGUGAAGAGGGAAACAACCCAGACCGCCAGCUAAGGUCCCAAAGUCAUGGUUAAGUGGGAAACGAUGUGGGAAGGCACAGACAGCCAGGAUGUUGGCUUAGAAGCAGCCAUCAUUUAAAGAAAGCGUAAUAGCUCACUGGUCGAGUCGGCCUGCGCGGAAGAUGUAACGGGGCUAAACCAUGCACCGAAGCUGCGGCAGCGACACUAUGUGUUGUUGGGUAGGGGAGCGUUCUGUAAGCCUGCGAAGGUGUGCUGUGAGGCAUGCUGGAGGUAUCAGAAGUGCGAAUGCUGACAUAAGUAACGAUAAAGCGGGUGAAAAGCCCGCUCGCCGGAAGACCAAGGGUUCCUGUCCAACGUUAAUCGGGGCAGGGUGAGUCGACCCCUAAGGCGAGGCCGAAAGGCGUAGUCGAUGGGAAACAGGUUAAUAUUCCUGUACUUGGUGUUACUGCGAAGGGGGGACGGAGAAGGCUAUGUUAGCCGGGCGACGGUUGUCCCGGUUUAAGCAUGUAGGCUGGUUAUCCAGGCAAAUCCGGAUAAUCAAGGCUGAGGUGUGAUGACGAGGCACUACGGUGCUGAAGUAACAAAUGCCCUGCUUCCAGGAAAAGCCUCUAAGCAUCAGGUAACAUCAAAUCGUACCCCAAACCGACACAGGUGGUCAGGUAGAGAAUACCAAGGCGCUUGAGAGAACUCGGGUGAAGGAACUAGGCAAAAUGGUGCCGUAACUUCGGGAGAAGGCACGCUGGUGUGUAGGUGAAGUCCCUGCGGAUGGAGCUGAGACCAGUCGAAGAUACCAGCUGGCUGCAACUGUUUAUUAAAAACACAGCACUGUGCAAACACGAAAGUGGACGUAUACGGUGUGACGCCUGCCCGGUGCCGGAAGGUUAAUUGAUGGGGUUAUCCGUAAGGAGAAGCUCUUGAUCGAAGCCCCGGUAAACGGCGGCCGUAACUAUAACGGUCCUAAGGUAGCGAAAUUCCUUGUCGGGUAAGUUCCGACCUGCACGAAUGGCGUAAUGAUGGCCAGGCUGUCUCCACCCGAGACUCAGUGAAAUUGAACUCGCUGUGAAGAUGCAGUGUACCCGCGGCAAGACGGAAAGACCCCGUGAACCUUUACUAUAGCUUGACACUGAACAUUGAGCCUUGAUGUGUAGGAUAGGUGGGAGGCUUUGAAGCGUGGACGCCAGUCUGCGUGGAGCCAACCUUGAAAUACCACCCUUUAAUGUUUGAUGUUCUAACGUUGGCCCCUGACCGGGGUUGCGGACAGUGUCUGGUGGGUAGUUUGACUGGGGCGGUCUCCUCCCAAAGCGUAACGGAGGAGCACGAAGGUUAGCUAAUCCUGGUCGGACAUCAGGAGGUUAGUGCAAUGGCAUAAGCUAGCUUGACUGCGAGCGUGACGGCGCGAGCAGGUGCGAAAGCAGGUCAUAGUGAUCCGGUGGUUCUGAAUGGAAGGGCCAUCGCUCAACGGAUAAAAGGUACUCCGGGGAUAACAGGCUGAUACCGCCCAAGAGUUCAUAUCGACGGCGGUGUUUGGCACCUCGAUGUCGGCUCAUCACAUCCUGGGGCUGAAGUAGGUCCCAAGGGUAUGGCUGUUCGCCAUUUAAAGUGGUACGCGAGCUGGGUUUAGAACGUCGUGAGACAGUUCGGUCCCUAUCUGCCGUGGGCGCUGGAGAAUUGAGGGGGGCUGCUCCUAGUACGAGAGGACCGGAGUGGACGCAUCACUGGUGUUCGGGUUGUCAUGCCAAUGGCACUGCCCGGUAGCUAAAUGCGGAAGAGAUAAGUGCUGAAAGCAUCUAAGCACGAAACUUGCCCCGAGAUGAGUUCUCCCUGAGACU